rnacentral:tRNA from 1 species
UGGGAGGUCGUCUAACGGUAAGACGGCGGACUUUGGAUCCGUCUAUCCAGGUUCGAAUCCUGGCCUCCCAG